UAUCCUGUCUGAAUAUGGGGGGACCAUCCUCCAAGGCUAAAUACUCCUGACUGACCGAUAGUGAACCAGUACCGUGAGGGAAAGGCGAAAAGAACCCCUGUGAGGGGAGUGAAAUAGAACCUGAAACCGUGUACGUACAAGCAGUAGGAGCACCUUCGUGGUGUGACUGCGUACCUUUUGUAUAAUGGGUCAGCGACUUAUAUUCAGUGGCAAGGUUAACCAUCUAGGGGAGCCGUAGGGAAACCGAGUCUUAACUGGGCGCCAUAGUCUCUGGAUAUAGACCCGAAACCGAGUGAUCUAGCCAUGGGCAGGUUGAAGGUUGAGUAACAUCAACUGGAGGACCGAACCGACUAAUGUUGAAAAAUUAGCGGAUGACUUGUGGCUAGGGGUGAAAGGCCAAUCAAACUCGGAGAUAGCUGGUUCUCCCCGAAAGCUAUUUAGGUAGCGCCUCGGACGAAUACUACUGGGGGUAGAGCACUGUUAAGGCUAGGGGGUCAUCCCGACUUACCAACCCUUUGCAAACUCCGAAUACCAGUAAGUACUAUCCGGGAGACACACGGCGGGUGCUAACGUCCGUCGUGGAGAGGGAAACAACCCAGACCGCCAGCUAAGGUCCCAAAUUACAGCUAAGUGGGAAACGAUGUGGGAAGGCUUAGACAGCUAGGAUGUUGGCUUAGAAGCAGCCAUCAUUUAAAGAAAGCGUAAUAGCUCACUAGUCGAGUCGGCCUGCGCGGAAGAUGUAACGGGGCUAAGUUGUAAACCGAAGCUGCGGCAAUAUCUUUUAGAUAUUGGGUAGGGGAGCGUUCUGUAAGCCGUUGAAGGUGUGUUGUAAAGCAUGCUGGAGGUAUCAGAAGUGCGAAUGCUGACAUGAGUAACGACAAGGGGGGUGAAAAACCUCCCCGCCGGAAGACCAAGGGUUCCUGU
rnacentral:rRNA from 1 species